GAUGAACGCUGGCGGCGUGCCUAAUACAUGCAAGUCGAGCGAACAGAUGAGGAGCUUGCUCCUCUGACGUUAGCGGCGGACGGGUGAGUAACACGUGGAUAACCUACCUAUAAGACUGGGAUAACUUCGGGAAACCGGAGCUAAUACCGGAUAAUAUAUUGAACCGCAUGGUUCAAUAGUGAAAGACGGUUUUGCUGUCACUUAUAGAUGGAUCCGCGCCGCAUUAGCUAGUUGGUAAGGUAACGGCUUACCAAGGCAACGAUGCGUAGCCGACCUGAGAGGGUGAUCGGCCACACUGGAACUGAGACACGGUCCAGACUCCUACGGGAGGCAGCAGUAGGGAAUCUUCCGCAACGGGCGAAAGCCUGACGGAGCAACGCCGCGUGAGUGAUGAAGGUCUUCGGAUCGUAAAACUCUGUUAUUAGGGAAGAACAAAUGUGUAAGUAACUAUGCACGCCUUGACGGUACCUAAUCAGAAAGCCACGGCUAACUACGUG
rnacentral:rRNA from 1 species